CACCGGCUAACUCCGUGCCAGCAGCCGCGGUAAUACGGGGGGUGCAAGCGUUGUUCGGAUUUACUGGGCGUAAAGGGCGCGUAGGCGGACCUUCAAGUCGGGUGUGAAAACUAUCGGCUCAACUGAUAGCCUGCAUUCGAUACUGUCGGUCUUGAGUACAGGAGAGGAGAGUGGAAUUCCAGGUGUAGCGGUGAAAUGCGUAGAUAUCUGGAAGAACACCAGUAGCGAAGGCGGCUCUCUGGACUGAUACUGACGCUAAAGCGCGAAGGCUUGGGGAGCAAACAGGAUUAGAUACCCUGGUAGUCCAAGCGGUAAACGAUGAGUANAUAGGUGUCGGGGGUCUCGACCCCCUCGGUGCCGCAGCUAACGCAUUAAGUACUCCGCCUGGGGAAUACGGUCGCAAGAUUGAAACUCAAAGGAAUUGACGGGGGCCCGCACAAGCGGUGGAGUAUGUGGUUUAAUUCGAAGCAACGCGCAGAACCUUACCUGGGCUUGACAUGCUUGGGUCCGCUGGUGAAAGCCGGCUUCCCCUUCGGGGGUCCUUGCACAGGUGCUGCAUGGCUGUCGUCAGCUCGUGCCGUGAGGUGUUGGGUUAAGUCCCGCAACGAGCGCAACCCUUGUCUAUAGUUGCCAUCAGGUUAUGCUGGGGACUCUAUAGAGACUGCCGGUGAUAAGCCGGAGGAAGGUGGGGAUGACGUCAAGUCCUCAUGGCCCUUACGCCCAGGGCUACACACGUACUACAAUGGCCGGUACAGAAGGUUGCAAUACCGCGAGGUGGAGCUAAUCCCUAAAACCGGCCUCAGUUCAGAUUGGAGUCUGCAACUCGACUCCAUGAAGGAGGAAUCGCUAGUAAUCGCUGAUCAGCAGGCAGCGGUGAAUACGUUCCCGGGCCUUGUACACACCGCCCGUCAAGCCACGGAAGUUGGGAGCACCCGAAGUCGCUUGCCUAACCGCAAGGAGGGCGGCGCCGAAGGUGAUACCGAUGACUGGGGCUAAGUCGUAACAAGGUAACC
rnacentral:rRNA from 1 species